UACGUAGGGAGCGAGCGUUGUCCGAAGUUACUGGGCGUAAAGCGCGCGUAGGCGGGCUGUUAAGUGAGAGGUGAAAGGCUGGGGCUUAACCCCAUGCAGUGCCUCUCAUACUGGCGGUCUUGAGUGCGGCAGGGAGAAGUGGAAUGGCUGGUGUAGCGGUGAAAUGCGUAGAUAUCAGUCGGAACACCGGUGGCGAAGGCGGCAUCCUGGACCAACACUGACGCUGAGGAGCGAAAGCCAGGGGAGCAAACGGG
rnacentral:rRNA from 1 species